AGAUGUAUAGCUCAGUGGUAGAGCAUUUACCUCGAAUGCAAGAGGCCCCGGGUUUAAUCCCCAGUGUUGCAA
rnacentral:tRNA from 1 species